rnacentral:rRNA from 1 species
GAUGAACGCUGGCGGCGUGCUUAACACAUGCAAGUCGAACGAAGCAUUUGCGACAGAUUUUUUCGGAAUGAAGUUGCUUAUGACUGAGUGGCGGACGGGUGAGUAACGCGCGGGUAACCUGCCUUGUACUGGGGGAUAGCAGCUGGAAACGGCUGGUAAUACCGCAUAAGCGCACAAUGUUGCAUGACAUGGUGUGAAAAACUCCGGUGGUAUAAGAUGGACCCGCGUCUGAUUAGCUAGUUGGUGAGAUAACAGCCCACCAAGGCGACGAUCAGUAGCCGACCUGAGAGGGUGACCGGCCACAUUGGGACUGAGACACGGCCCAGACUCCUACGGGAGGCAGCAGUGGGGAAUAUUGCACAAUGGAGGAAACUCUGAUGCAGCGACGCCGCGUGAGUGAAGAAGUAAUUCGUUAUGUAAAGCUCUAUCAGCAGGGAAGAUAGUGACGGUACCUGACUAAGAAGCUCCGGCUAAAUACGUG